rnacentral:rRNA from 1 species
UACGUAGGGUGCGAGCGUUGCCCGGAUUUAUUGGGCGUAAAGGGCGCGCAGGCGGCUCGGCACGUCCGUUGUGAAAUCGCCCGGCUCAACUGGGCGGGGUCAGCGGAUACGGUCGAGCUUGAGCAAGCUAGGGGGCAAUGGAAUUCCCGGUGUAGUGGUGGAAUGCGUAGAUAUCGAGAGGAACACCUGCGGCGAAGGCGGGUUGCUGGGCUGACACUGACGCUGAGGCGCGAAAGCUAGGGGAGCGAACGGG